AGUGAACGCUGGCGGUAGGCCUAACACAUGCAAGUCGAACGGCAGCACAGGAGAGCUUGCUCUCUGGGUGGCGAGUGGCGGACGGGUGAGGAAUACAUCGGGAUCUACUCUGUCGUGGGGGAUAACGUAGGGAAACUUACGCUAAUACCGCAUACGACCUACGGGUGAAAGCAGGGGACCUACGGGCCUUGCGCGAUUGAAUGAGCCGAUGUCGGAUUAGCUAGUUGGCGGGGUAAAGGCCCACCAAGGCGACGAUCCGUAGCUGGUCUGAGAGGAUGAUCAGCCACACUGGAACUGAGACACGGUCCAGACUCCUACGGGAGGCAGCAGUGGGGAAUAUUGGACAAUGGGCGCAAGCCUGAUCCAGCCAUACCGCGUGGGUGAAGAAGGCCUUCGGGUUGUAAAGCCCUUUUGUUGGAAAAGAAAUCCAGCUGGCUAAUACCCGGUUGGGAUGACGGUACCCAAAGAAUAAGCACCGGCUAACUUCGUGCCAGCCGCCGCCGUAA
rnacentral:rRNA from 1 species